UACAGAGGGGGCAAGCGUUAUUCGGAAUUAUUGGGCGUAAAGGGCGCGUAGGCGGCUUGGCAAGUGGAUGGUGAAAUCCCUCGGCUUAACCGAGGAACUGCCGUCCAAACUGCUUUGCUUGAGGCCGGGAGAGGUGAGUGGAAUUCCCAGUGGUAGCGGUGAAAUGCGUAGAUAUUGGGAGGAACACCAGUGGCGAAGGCGGCUCACUGGACCGGUUCUGACGCUGAUGCGCGAAAGCGUGGGGAGCAAACGGGG
rnacentral:rRNA from 1 species